AUUCUCUUAGUUUAACGAUAGAACGACAUUUUUGUCAUAUGUUAAUUUUGGUUUGAUUCCAAAAGAGAAUA
rnacentral:tRNA from 1 species